rnacentral:rRNA from 1 species
AGCGAACGCUGGCGGCAGGCUUAACACAUGCAAGUCGAGCGGACCUUUCGGGGUCAGCGGCGGACGGGUGAGUAACGCGUGGGAACGUGCCUUCCGGUUCGGAAUAACCCUGGGAAACUAGGGCUAAUACCGGAUACGCCCUUAUGGGGAAAGGUUUACUGCCGGAAGGUCGGCCCGCGUCUGAUUAGCUAGUUGGUGGGGUAACGGCCUACCAAGGCGACGAUCAGUAGCUGGUCUGAGAGGAUGAUCAGCCACACUGGGACUGAGACACGGCCCAGACUCCUACGGGAGGCAGCAGUGGGGAAUAUUGGACAAUGGGCGCAAGCAUGAUCCAGCCAUGCCGCGUGAGUGAUGAAGGCCUUAGGGUUGUAAAGCUCUUUUAUCCGGGACGAUAAUGACGGUACCGGAGGAAUAAGCCCCGGCUAACUUCGUG